GAUGAACGCUGGCGGCGUGCCUAAUACAUGCAAGUCGAGCGAAUGGAUUAAGAGCUUGCUCUUAUGAAGUUAGCGGCGGACGGGUGAGUAACACGUGGGUAACCUGCCCAUAAGACUGGGAUAACUCCGGGAAACCGGGGCUAAUACCGGAUAACAUUUUGAACCGCAUGGCUCGAAAUUGAAAGGCGGCUUCGGCUGUCACUUAUGGAUGGACCCGCGUCGCAUUAGCUAGUUGGUGAGGUAACGGCUCACCAAGGCAACGAUGCGUAGCCGACCUGAGAGGGUGAUCGGCCACACUGGGACUGAGACACGGCCCAGACUCCUACGGGAGGUAGCAGUAGGGAAUCUUCCGCAAUGGACGAAAGUCUGACGGAGCAACGCCGCGUGAGUGAUGAAGGCUUUCGGGUCGUAAAACUCUGUUGUUAGGGAAGAGCAAGUGCUAGUUGAAUAAGCUGGCACCUUGACGGUACCUAACCAGAAAGCCACGGCUAACUACGUGCCAGCAGCCGCCGUAA
rnacentral:rRNA from 1 species